GCCAUGUUACCUGCUGUUACAGUAUCAAGCUUUCUCAUCAAAUUUUAAACAGACUUAAAAUAUUGCAGCUACAACAUUUCUUACAUUACGUCAUUAAUCGGUGAGUCUUCAGCUGACAGCCAUAAAGAACCAUACAUACAUUGCUCAGCAGUAAAUGUAUCUAAGAUAACAUAUACUGUAGGCAAACAUAAUAAGAAUUGUGUAAUAAAUUCCUAAAAAUGGAAGCAUAACAUCUGUUUGCUUGCAACCUUUAUUUAUACUCGAGAGAUCAUUGAUCUCAUCAUUGCUUACUGUCAGUCACUUGUACCAAUAUUUGCUUUUUUCGUUGUCAAUUAGUUUCCACCAGUGUAGGUCCAGCUGUGUGCAUUAUACCUGCAUGCACAGUUUAACACUGUAAGAGAAAAACAUUAACACCAAACAAGUUGUCAGUGAGAGAUCUGUAGUCCUCUCAAUGGUCGGCCAUUUUACAUAGUUGUAAAAAAAAAAAAAUCUAGCAGAAGCCGAGGGGCAAGGCUGCGGUGGGAGGUCUCAAUAAUGUGGCACAUGUACACACAGUGAUGGAAGUACAGUGUGAAUGCUUGAGCUGCACACAUGGAAGUUAACUGCUUUUAUUUUACUCACAGUCAUUAACUUUUUUUGUCAGAGUGGAGGAUGACAUUUCAAAACCAAACAGAAAUCAUAUCUGCAGCCACUCUACAAAUAUUCACUGUUUCUUGUUCAUUUCCUCUUCCUUGCUGGAUGUACUCUUUUACUGCAUGUUUUUGCUGAACAAGGCAAACACUGACACCAUGACCUACUGGUGCAGACACGCUGCUUCAAGUAGGAAACCCAGCUGAACUGAGACGACAUCACAUGACUACAUUAACAUUGUACCACCAAAUACCGGCAUAGGUCAGGUGCCGUAUUUGCCAGGAAGACACAUACCUAUAGAUACGAGCUUGUGCAGCCAGUCACCACAAGUUCGGAUCUACGGGUUUGUGGCAGCUGGCAUUACCCCUUCAAGAGCAAAUAAGGAAGACGAAACUCAGGAAACAUGGAAUCAGCAAGUCAAUCCGCUAUCUGAACCUGUAAACUGCACUCAUACAACAUCUAUACAUCUACAUCGUAUAUCUUCCAUUGUAUGUUAGAAGGUUUAGAAGUUCAGUCUAUUUUAACUUUUACCUUGUAAUAUCUGCGGAAUAAAUCCUUUUUGAUAGUGCGGAAAAAAACUGUUCAUGGCAGUAAACUGUUUCUUUUAUGUAUUUUUCAUUCAUAUUUGAUUAGACCUUUUCUGUGUGGCAAUAAAAGAUAUUUCCUGUUUGUGUAUCUAUAGAGUACAGCUUUGAAAUUAAGCCAUGGUACAAUGAACAGGCCAGAGCACAUGACUGUGAGAUGGACGUGGUGUUUGUGUAACCUACUGAUCACAUUCUUCUGAGGUCAACAUUUAUUUUUGAAAUGUCAGACAGAAUAAUACUGUAUGUUCUUUUAUAUGUGGACAUAAAAACAUGAAAUUCCAGCUAAAUGUGAAAAUAAAAUUCUGCUGUACAGUGCUGAGUUUUUUUAUGAAAUACCACAAUAUGAAUAAAAUGUCAGAAGAA